rnacentral:misc_RNA from 1 species
CUGAGUGUUGACACGAAAGUGUUACCUCCCACCCUAUGUUUAAUAUGACCUGUUGCUUCGGCGAGCCGUCUUGCAAAAGACCGUCGACUUUAGUGGACGAGUGCUUGCCGAAGGUAUUAACUCUUAAAUUUUAUUGUCUGAGUAUAAAUUAAAACAAAUAA